GACGAACGCUGGCGGCGUGCCUAAUACAUGCAAGUAGAACGCUGAAGACUGGUGCUUGCACUAGUCAGGUGAGUUGCGAACGGGUGAGUAACGCGUAGGUAACCUACCUCAUAGCGGGGGAUAACUAUUGGAAACGAUAGCUAAUACCGCAUGACAAUUAAGUACUCAUGUACUAAAUUUAAAAGGAGCAAUUGCUUCACUAUGAGAUGGACCUGCGUUGUAUUAGCUAGUUGGUGAGGUAACGGCUCACCAAGGCCACGAUACAUAGCCGACCUGAGAGGGUGAUCGGCCACACUGGGACUGAGACACGGCCCAGACUCCUACGGGAGGCAGCAGUAGGGAAUCUUCGGCAAUGGGGGCAACCCUGACCGAGCAACGCCGCGUGAGUGAAGAAGGUUUUCGGAUCGUAAAGCUCUGUUGUUAGAGAAGAACGGUAAUGGGAGUGGAAAAUCCAUUACGUGACGGUAACUAACCAGAAAGGGACGGCUAACUACGUGCCAGCAGCCGCGGUAAUACGUAGGUCUCGAGCGUUGUCCGGAUUUAUUGGGCGUAAAGCGAGCGCAGGCGGUUAUUUAAGUCUGAAGUUAAAGGCCGUGGCUCAACCAUGGUUCGCUUUGGAAACUGGAUAACUUGAGUGCAGAAGGGGAGAGUGGAAUUCCAUGU
rnacentral:rRNA from 1 species